GAUGAAGAACGCAGCGAAAUGCGAUAAGUAAUGUGAAUUGCAGAAUUCAGUGAAUCAUCGAAUCUUUGAACGCACCUUGCGCCCUUUGGCUAUUCCGAAGGGCAUGCCUGUUUGAGUAUCAUGAACACCUCAACUCUCAUGGUUUGCCAUGAUGAGCUUGGACUCUGGGGGUCUUGCUGGCCUAUGGUCAGCUCCUCUCAAAUAAAUCAGCUUGCCAGUGUUUGGUGGCAUCACAGGUGUGAUAACUAUCUACGCUUGUGGUUUUCCAUCCGGUAACCUUCAGUGAUGGAGGUUCGCUGGAGCUCAUAAAUGUCCCUCCUCAGCGAGGACAGCUUUUUGAACGUUUGAUCUCAAAUCAGGUAGGACUACCCGCUGAACUUAAGCAUAUCAAUAAGCGGAGGA
rnacentral:misc_RNA from 1 species